GCCCGGCUGGCGCAAUCGGUAGCGCGCAAGACUUCUAUUCUCAUUCGAGAUCAGCAAUCUUGAGGCUGUGGGUUCGAGUCCCACGUUGGGCU
rfam:Sordaria macrospora k-hell, WGS project CABT02000000 data, contig: 2.2